UACGUAGGGGGCUAGCGUUGUCCGGAAUCAUUGGGCGUAAAGAGCGUGUAGGCGGCCCGGUAAGUCCGCUGUAAAAGUCAAAGGCUCAACCUUUGAAUGUCAGUGGAUACUGCCGGGCUAGAGUCCGGAAGAGGCGAGUGGAACUCCUGGUGUAGCGGUGGAAUGCGCAGAUAUCAGGAGGAACACCGGUGGCGAAGGCGGUUCUCUGGGCCUUACCUGACGCUGAGGAGCGAAAGCGUGGGGAGCGAACAGG
rnacentral:rRNA from 1 species